rnacentral:lncRNA from 1 species
AAACAACAACUAGGUUAUUUGGUACAUACUAGAGGAUGCACAGGUUUAGAGGAGAUGGAUGUUGUAUUGAAACAGGACUAUAUGAUGAAAAUAUAAAUGGAAAAGAUUUAUUAAUAUUUAGUCAACUUCGAUAUGAGAAACAAUGGCCAAAUUCAGUGCCAAUAUUCAUGAACCAGUUAAUGUCACCCCAUUGCAAGCUGUACCACCGAACGUGACAAUAGCAUAUGCUACACUGGUGUCAUCGAACCAAAUACCCUCCGUACCAACAGGACGACCAAAAUCAUUUUCUAACCAUAUAUAGAACAAGCCUAGUAGGUAUAUACUAGUGGAGACAUCUAAUAUGUCUGAUGGGGGUACAAGAAGACCACUUCAUUGUUUUCAUAUUA